UAGAGAUGGGAAGACGUCCAAGACUUCAUUGCAGCUGGGGCUGCAGCUGAUGGCGUUGGGUUUGCACUGGGCUCUGUUGCACGGUGUCAUCCCUCUUUGAGGAAUUGUUGGUUGAGAUCCCCUGGGAAGCCGGCCUUAGGGACAAAGGAAUGGAACGGAGCUGCAUGGAACUCCUUAGGGACGCCUGUCUGAGAGCACAAGAGCUCUCCAAAAAUUUCUCACACUGGAUGGGCUGAGCUGCACCACGGGGAGGUGUUGGGAAGCACAGCGGCUGAAUGUGCCACUCCAGAGGCCACUCACAGCCAGGGCGCAUCCCCAGACUGCUCAUUUCUGGGCUCUUACCACCCAUGCAAGCACCUCCAUGAGGCCAACGUGCCCAGCAGACUCCACCAUGCGGCAUUUCCCAGCAGAUCCCCCCAUGCUGCUUCUCCAGACUGCAUGUGCAGCUGCAAGCAGGAAUUCCCAGAGGAGCAGAAGAACUCUCCGGGCUCUGCUGUUAUCCUACAAGGCAUCAGCAUGGGGCCGGAUAAACCCAACGGAUCAAGGGCAGCUUGGCUGGUCAAUGGGAGGCAGCCAAAGCAAACAGCAGUGGCUCCCAGACCUCAACAGGAGCCCCUCGGUGGCUCACUGCACUUCAUUUGCUCUUUUGCUUUUAGGAGAAGGGGUGAGGUGUGGGGCUGGGCACGACGACAUGUGGGCUCUCGAGCGAACCCCCCAGGGCCGAUGGAAACUGCGUAC
ensembl:lncRNA